AGUAAAUAGAUACCCGGGUAGUCCACGCCGUAAACGAUGUCGACUUGGAGGUUGUGCCCUUGAGGCGUGGCUUCCGGAGCUAAACGCGUUAAAGUCGACCGCCUGGGGAGUACGGCCGCAAGGUUAAAACUCAAAUGAAUUGACGGGGGCCCGCACAAGCGGUGGAGCAUGUGGUUUAAUUCGAUGCAACGCGAAGAACCUUACCUACUCUUGACAUCCAGAGAACUUAGCAGAGAUGCUUUGGUGCCUUCGGGAACCCUGAGACAGGUGCUGCAUGGCUGUCGUCAGCUCGUGUUGUGAAAUGUUGGGUUAAGUCCCGCAACGAGCGCAACCCUUAUCCUUUGUUGCCAGCGGUUAGGCCGGGAACUCAAAGGAGACUGCCAGUGAUAAACUGGAGGAAGGUGGGGAUGACGUCAAGUCAUCAUGGCCCUUACGAGUAGGGCUACACACGUGCUACAAUGGCGCAUACAAAGAGAAGCGACCUCGCGGGAGCAAGCGGACCUCAUAAAGUGCGUCGUAGUCCGGAUUGGAGU
rnacentral:rRNA from 1 species